CCUACGGGAGGCUGCAGUGAGGAAUAUUGGUCAAUGGACGAGAGUCUGAACCAGCCAAGUAGCGUGAAGGAUGACUGCCCUAUGGGUUGUAAACUUCUUUUAUAUGGGAAUAAAAUGUUCCACGUGUGGGAUUUUGUAUGUACCAUAUGAAUAAGGAUCGGCCAACUCCGUGCCAGCCGCCGCGGUCAUACGGAGGAUCCGAGCGUUAUCCGGAUUUAUUGGGGUUAAAGGGAACGUAGGUGGAUUGUUAAGUCAGUUGUGAAAGUUUGCGGAUCAACCGUAAAAUUGCAGUUGAAACUGGCAGUCUUGAGUACAGUAGAGGUGGGCGGAAUUCGUGGUGUAGCGGUGAAAUGCUUAGAUAUCACGAAGAACUCCGAUUGCGAAGGCAGCUCACUGGACUGCAACUGACACUGAGGCUCGAAAGUGUGGGUAUCAAACAGGAUUAGAUACCCCUGUAGUC
rnacentral:rRNA from 1 species